UAUAAAGUGAUAUGUACAACAGAAAUGUGUUAAUAUUCUACCUGGUACUAUCGAGUAAAGACGUGUGUUUUGUGUAGUGUUCAAUUUUAAUAAAAGCUUCCAAUAAUGGAUCAAGUUGAUGGUGUACAAGGGAAAGGGAUACAAAAACAUGCUUUACAACCGGCAGGCACAAUGAUAAGAGAGUAUUGUGCUAUAACGAAAUGUGACUCGCCUCCGCCCACAUCACCUACGCCUGAGGAAGAAACUUCGAAAGACGAGAAAAAGACCGACUCGUCAUGAUAGCUGAUAGAAAAUUAAAAUUAACAAAAUACUCGUAAGGCCACAAGAUGACAGAUUCGAUGGUGACCAAAAACCUAACAGUAUUAUUUAUUAAACCACCAACAUAAUAUAAUAGUUAUUUCUUAAAUAAACUACUUAUAGCAUAUAUUACAAUAUUAUUAAUUGUCACAUCUUUAAGGCCCAUUUA